rnacentral:rRNA from 1 species
UACGGGGGGAGCAAGCGUUGUUCGGAUUUACUGGGCGUAAAGGGCGCGUAGGCGGCCAGCACAAGUCAGUUGUGAAAUCUCCGAGCUUAACUCGGAAAGGUCAACUGAUACUGUGCGGCUAGAGUGCGGAAGGGGCAACUGGAAUUCUUGGUGUAGCGGUGAAAUGCGUAGAUAUCAAGAGGAACACCGAUUGCGAAGGCAGCUCGCUGGAACGUUACUGACGCUGAGACGCGAAAGCGUGGGGAGCAAACAGG